rnacentral:misc_RNA from 1 species
AAGGAUCAUUACUGAAGAUUUGGCCUUCGGGUCGCUCUUCCACCCUUUGUUUACCUUUACCAUGUUGCUUUGGCGGGCCGCCUUAGGCCACCGGCUCCCGGGCUGGUGAGCGCCCGCCAGAGACACCCUUAACCCUAACCAUUUUGACGUUUGUCUGAGAAAAAACUUAAUUGUUAAAACUUUCAACAACGGAUCUCUUGGCUCUG